CGAAUUGGAACCAAAACUCCGUAUUCCUUGUAUGGAUAAUUUUUCAAUAGUGGACAUUUUUUAGAGAGGCGCAAAAUUUCACAACAAUUCAAAAACAAGUCACAACAAAAUAAAAUGCAAAAUUGCGACGUUUUGCCGGAGGCAUCCUCAUAAAGCAGCAACGCGUAUUAUUUAUGGAUAAAUGUUGAAUGAAAAUGUAUCGAGUUCUUUAAAUUUAAAGAUAUAAAAACAAGGUUAUAUAUGUUUUAAACAAACUCAAAAAAAUAUAUACGAUAUAUAUUAGAAAAGUAUA